rnacentral:lncRNA from 1 species
AAAUAGGCCUAGCCGAAGUGAAAGGAGGAACAAUCUCUGCUUCUGGAAAGAACAUUACAACUGAGAUGGUUUGAAGAGGAAAGGAACCUGUGACUCUCGUUGUCUCCAGGAUUUCACCAUAAAUGGAAGAAAAUGAAAAAUUCACACUCAUGUCUGACAACGGGAGACCUCUAGAGGAGAGAGCUCAGCCCACGGGAAUGGGUCACACAUUGUGAAUUAUCAGGCAUGACUGAAGGAAAAGGACAUCAGGACGUACAGCGAGAGACACCAGGGAGAUGCUUGCACAGAGAAAAAGAUCACUGAGGACACAGUAAGAAGGCAGCCACCUACAAGCCAAGGGGAGAGGCCUCAAGAGAACCCACACCUGCCAACGCCUUGAUCUUGGACAUCCAGGCUCUAAAACUGAAGACUGGCCCUGAGCUAACAUCCAUGCCCAUCUUCCUCUACUUUAUAUGUGGGACACCUACCACAGCAUGGCUUUUGCCAAGUGGUGCCAUGUCCACACCCGGGAUCCGAACCGGUGAACCCCAGGCUGCUGAGAAGUGGAAUGUGUGAACUUAACCUCUGCACCACCAGGCCAGCCCCUAUAGUAUCUAAAUUCUAAACAAAUGCUCUAAAGUGAGAAUUUUUUUAUUAAAACUUUAAGUGAAAUCUGCUA